CAGGUCCUAGUGUCUGUCACUGUGUACUAAGUAGGGCCCUGAACCAGUGGUGGUAAACCUAUGGCACAUGUGCUGCAGCCAGCUGUUUAACACUGAAAGCUCUAAAAGGUUCACCAUCACCACUCUAGACCAAUUGUGUUGGCUGUUCUAACCUUAAGGUUCAUAGUCCUUUUUUCUCUUGUGCAGGAUGCCAUCCUGUUCUACAUCCCCCAGAUCAUGCAGGCCCUCAGGUCUGGUAGAACUACUCAUUGCCCCAACUAGGUGGCUGCCAACCCUCCAAUCCGAGCAGUGGCACAUGUGGAGCCACAUUCACCUCCUGGAGCCCUACCUCUGAUGCCGGCACUUCUGGGACUGCCAUGAAGCACCUUGUCUGCAGGAAGCUGUCUCCUUUUCCCUCCUGUCUCCUUUUCCCUCCUGUCCCCUUCACCAACCAUGUUCUGUCUUCACUGCUUAGCACUCUGCUUCUAUAUGGGUCUAGCAGAAGGGCCUGAUUCAGAGGAGGAGGAGAGCGGGUGCCAGUGCCCAGGGUCUCCAUGUGAACCACCAGAAAAUGGUCACAUGUGCAGUCUACACUGAGCACAUGUGGGCUCAGGUGGCUGCAGUUAGCACAGCCAGUGUAGGUAGGCUGCAUUUCCUUUUUUUUUCUGCCUUUAUUUUAUGAGUUGCUAUGUAAAUAAAUCAUAAAUCAAUAAAUCUAUCUUGCCAGUUGUAACGGCACACACCUUUAAAUCCCUGUACUCUAGGAGGCAGAGGCAGGAGGAUUGGAAAUUCAAGCCCAGCCUUGGCAACUUAGCAACUUAUUGAGAUCCUAUCUCAAAAUAAAAAAGACUGGAGUAGCUCAGUGUGAAGGCCCUGGGUUCAAUCCCCAGAACAAUACAUACAUUGAAAAUUGCAUUUUAUUUUCUAGUUUUCAAAAUAAUAAGUUAAUUCUUUAGCAUUAUCCAAAGGUGAUCAAUGAGAUUUUUUUUCCAAAUAUCAUUAUAAACUUGUGGAUUUGGACACCUUCAGUGUCUGUUAGCCCACUAUGGUUGUUUGUUUUGUGCUGCUGGGGAUCAGACCUGUGCUAGGCAAGUGCUCUACCACUGAGCUACACCCACAGUACCAGUUACUCUUUUCUGAUGUGUAUCUUUCCAACUGCAGGUAACCUCCUCAGAUUGUCUGCUCUGCUCUUUGGUCUUUAGUCUUUGAGAGUCUCCUUGCUUUCCAGAAUAAAAUAUUCCAGGUUCUUACUGUUUUUCUGCCACAGACCUAAAAUCAACCAACCAAGUUUGUGAAGAGUUCUGAUUCAUUUUAGUGGGCAUUGUUACAGAGAUGCCUUAAUCUGCAUGCUGAGAUGCUCACUGCCACUGAGUUGUCCUCCUCUCCAAGCCUUUCCAGCCUAGAAAAGUGCAUCGAGAGAUUAUACUGAUGCUCCCACUUCAGAUGUAGGAUAACAGAGUGGUUUUUUAAAAAAACUGUAUUUCAUUCUGUGUUUGAGUAUUUUAACACUGAAAAUAUUGAGUGAUAACUACAUUAACAGAUUAUUUUUUUUGUAGUAAUUAGUAGUUUCAAAGUAGCAGCGUUGAUGUUGUUACUUACCAGUAUGAGUGCCCAAAACUGGUUUGGAUAGUUUUGCUAUUUUGUCCUUAACAUGCUGUAUUUCUCAUUGUGGAUAUACAAUUAAAUUUUGUGUCAAAGAAUUCUUUGUGGUUAUACCAAUUCGACUCAGCUAGCUUUAUUUAUUUUUUUCCCCAUUUUUAGAGAAUACCUGUGCAGCUAUAAAUACAUA
rnacentral:lncRNA from 1 species